GAUGAACGCUAGCUACAGGCUUAACACAUGCAAGUCGAGGGGCAUCAGGAAGAAAGCUUGCUUUCUUUGCUGGCGACCGGCGCACGGGUGAGUAACACGUAUCUAACCUGCCCUUUACUCGGGGAUAGCCUUUCGAAAGAAAGAUUAAUACCCGAUGGCAUAAUGAUUCCGCAUGGUUUCAUUAUUAAAGGAUUCCGGUAAAGGAUGGGGAUGCGUUCCAUUAGGUUGUUGGUGAGGUAACGGCUCACCAAGCCUUCGAUGGAUAGGGGUUCUGAGAGGAAGGUCCCCCACAUUGGAACUGAGACACGGUCCAAACUCCUACGGGAGGCAGCAGUGAGGAAUAUUGGUCAAUGGGCGCUAGCCUGAACCAGCCAAGUAGCGUGAAGGAUGAAGGCUCUAUGGGUCGUAAACUUCUUUUAUAUAAGAAUAAAGUGCAGUAUGUAUACUGUUUUGUAUGUAUUAUAUGAAUAAGGAUCGGCUAACUCCGUGCCAGCAGCCGCGGUAAUACGGAGGAUCCGAGCGUUAUCCGGAUUUAUUGGGUUUAAAGGGAGCGUAGGUGGACUGGUAAGUCAGUUGUGAAAGUUUGCGGCUCAACCGUAAAAUUGCAGUUGAUACUGUCAGUCUUGAGUACAGUAGAGGUGGGCGGAAUUCGUGGUGUAGCGGUGAAAUGCUUAGAUAUCACGAAGAACUCCGAUUGCGAAGGCAGCUCACUGGACUGCAACUGACACUGAUGCUCGAAAGUGUGGGUAUCAAACAGG
rnacentral:rRNA from 1 species